UAGAGUUUGAUCCUGGCUCAGGACGAACGCUGGCGGCGCGCCUAACACAUGCAAGUCGAACGGAGUCAAGAGGAGCUUGCUUUUCUUGACUUAGUGGCGAACGGGUGAGUAACGCGUGAGUAACCUGCCCUGGAGUGGGGGACAACAGUUGGAAACGACUGCUAAUACCGCAUAAGCCCACGGCCCGGCAUCGGGCUGCGGGAAAAGGAUUUAUUCGCUUCAGGAUGGACUCGCGUCCAAUUAGCUAGUUGGUGAGGUAACGGCCCACCAAGGCGACGAUUGGUAGCCGGACUGAGAGGUUGAACGGCCACAUUGGGACUGAGACACGGCCCAGACUCCUACGGGAGGCAGCAGUGGGGGAUAUUGCACAAUGGGGGAAACCCUGAUGCAGCGACGCCGCGUGGAGGAAGAAGGUUUUCGGAUUGUAAACUCCUGUCGUUAGGGACGAUAAUGACGGUACCUAACAAGAAAGCACCGGCUAACUACGUGCCAGCAGCCGCGGUAAAACGUAGGGUGCAAGCGUUGUCCGGAAUUACUGGGUGUAAAGGGAGCGCAGGCGGACCGGCAAGUUGGAAGUGAAAACUAUGGGCUCAACCCAUAAAUUGCUUUCAAAACUGCUGGCCUUGAGUAGUGCAGAGGUAGGUGGAAUUCCCGGUGUAGCGGUGGAAUGCGUAGAUAUCGGGAGGAACACCAGUGGCGAAGGCGACCUACUGGGCACCAACUGACGCUGAGGCUCGAAAGCAUGGGUAGCAAACAGGAUUAGAUACCCUGGUAGUCCAUGCCGUAAACGAUGAUUACUAGGUGUUGGAAGAUUGACCCCUUCAGUGCCGCAGUUAACACAAUAAGUAAUCCACCUGGGGAGUACGACCGCAAGGUUGA
rnacentral:rRNA from 1 species